CAGCCGCCACGGGAAUACGUAGGGCGCAAGCGUUGUCCGGAAUUAUUGGGCGUAAAGAGCUCGUAGGCGGUCUGUCGCGUCUGGUGUGAAAUCCCGAGGCUCAACCUCGGGCUUGCAUCGGGUACGGGCAGACUAGAGUGCGGUAGGGGAGACUGGAAUUCCUGGUGUAGCGGUGGAAUGCGCAGAUAUCAGGAGGAACACCGAUGGCGAAGGCAGGUCUCUGGGCCGCAACUGACGCUGAGGAGCGAAAGCAUGGGGAGCGAACAGGAUUAGAUACCCCGGUAGUCCCUGUCUCUUAUAC
rnacentral:rRNA from 1 species